rnacentral:lncRNA from 10 species
ACUCGCGUGAGUGCGCGUGCGUUGGGGCCUCAGCCUUUAUCUCCACUCUGCGGAGAUUCACGCCUGGAAAACGCUCUUCUGAGAGGAUCUGUGGAGGUCAACCCAGGAGAGAGAAGACAGGACUGAAGCACUGAAAGGGUCCUGCCGUUAAGGGCGCAGGAUUGUAUAGAAUAUAUAAUAGCAGUAGCAGCUCUGUUUACGGAGCAUUAACCUUACGUGGAGUUAUUUCCUGCAUUUCCUCCUUUCGUCUUUACAAGGUAGCCGUUUGGCGUCGUGAGGUAUGGAUGUUCCCAUCCCUAAUUUGCAAAAUAGGUAACUGAGGCUCAGGAGAGCUAGACUAGUUUGUGCACAGCCGAGAAGUGGUCAAGCUAGAAUGGGACCCCAGGUUUGUGCUCCCUACUCUCCACCGAUAACCUAUCAAAGGGCUUUGCAAGAGCUUUUGACUAAUCGUCUGUCAAUGGUUCUUCAUUCACGUAUUAAUUGCACAUCAGUAUGUGCCAAAUCUACUAGACAUUGGAGAAACAGUAGGAACAACACAUGGUACCGGCACAUGGAUCUUUCAGGAAAACGAAGUAGGUAAUAAACAGGAAAAAGCCCGAGUCUGAUGCUAAGAAGAACAUAAACAGGAUGCUGAGAGAUUGGGUCUCUCCACAUUGCCCCGGCUGCUCUCCAACCCCUGAGUUCAAGUGAUUCACCUCCCUUGGCCUCCCAAAGUACUGGGAUUACAGGCGUGAGCCACCGUGCCUGGCUGAGAAGAUGGAUUUAAGACAUAUUUUGGAGGUAACAUUGUCAGGACUUCCUGAAGGAUUAGAUGUGGAAGGGAAGGAUAAGAAACAGACCAAGGAUAACUUUCAAAUGUAUGCUUAAGCAACUGGAUGGAUAAUGAUGCCAUUGAGUGAGUGAAAAACUUGAUGGAAGUGGAAGAUUCAGAGUUCAUUUCUAUCUAGGUUAAUUUGAGACAUACCAGAGCAUAAGUUAAGUAAGUAAUUGAAUAUUGGAGUGGAGACUUAUUUGUCUACCGAAUUAUUGUUUUCUUUGUCGGACAUACACCUACACUGCAUUCCUCAAAGUAAAAUUUAAGUGUGGCUCUGUGCCUAUGCUCUCCCCAGCGGAAAGUGACCAGAAGAGGUGUGCAGUUUCCAGGCCUGGCCCAUACAGACCUCCAACAGGUGCUCCCCUGUGCUGUUACUCCUUCUGCCAACUGGAAGCAGAUGGUGACCAGGCUCUGGAGAAGGCAAGGCCUGAAGAUGGGAGAUUCCUAAGUGGAGGAGAACUGUGCCUUACUGACCUAAAUAUCCACUCAGUAUUGUUAUGUGAGAAUAAAUAAACUUGUGUUGACCGUUUACUUACUUUGAGUCUUUUGUUCUAGCAGCUUUGCCUAUGCUACCUAAUAUGAAUAAGAGCAAUGAU